AAGUCGUAACAAGGUUUCCGUAGGUGAACCUGCGGAAGGAUUAUUAAUGAUAUUUAUAUCAUAGUAUGUGAACCAAAGGUUGAUGAUUGCAGCGUCUAUGUACCCAAGUAUAUAGUCGAUGUGGAUCUGAAACUCGUCCCCUGGCGACAACGUAGCUCGCUACUGUUCUGUAUUUUCAGGGCAGCAGUUUUGAGCUGUCGUCAGAUUUUUUAACCUUCUUAAUCCUAAUUUACUGAACAAAAACAUAAUAAUCGUACAA
rnacentral:misc_RNA from 1 species